GCAUAUAACUAAGCGGAGGAAAAGAAACCAACUCGGAUUCCCCUAGUAACGGCGAGUGAAGCGGGAAGAGCUCAUGUUGUAAAUCUGGAUGAGGGUUCCUCGUCCCGAAUUGUAGUCUAGAGAUGCGUGCUCAGCUACUCUCCAGGGCUAAGUCUGUUUGUGAAAGACAGUGUCAUGGACGGUGAUAACCCGGUUCUUGCCUUGGAUGUUGUAGCGUUUUGAGCCGUCCUCAACGAGUCGAGUUGCUUGGGAUUGCAGCUCUAAGUGGGUGGUAAAUUCCAUCUAAAGCUAAAUAUUGGUGGGAGACCGAUAGCGAACAAGUACCGUGAGGGAAAGAUGAAAAGAACUUUGAAAAGAGAGUUAAAUAGUACCUGAAACUGCUGAAAGGGAAGCGAAUGAAGUCAGUGUUGCUCUUUGUGCUCUGCAUCCUCCCUGCGGGGAUUGUGUAUCGAGGACUUUGAGCUUGUCAGGAUGAGUUCUCUGCCGCGGGAUAUGUUUUGUAUGCUGGAUGCUUUUUGCGGAACAUACAUUCUCUGUCGUGGCUUGGACUGAGGUUCCAUCUUGCCGUUGCCUGUGCGUUCCUCUCCCGUUGCUGUCUCUGUUCUACUGCUUGCAGUGCUCAGUUGCAGUAGUUGGACUGUGCGUAUUAUGCAUGCAAGGUCAGGAUCCUGACGAAAUGGCUUUAUUUACCCCGUCUUG
rnacentral:rRNA from 1 species